AUGAUAAUUACAGUCCUCAUUUCUGUAACUGUUUACAUGGUCAUUGCUCAUGUUUAUAACUAUUUUCUUUCACUACUCAUUCUGUAUUCCCUUUACUUUCAGCAAAUAUCACAGAUGACCAUGGUUCCUUACCUGAUGGAGUGACCCAAACCUUCAUUCCUGAAGUGUCUGUGCCAUUGGUAGCUCCUGUCUGAAUUGGGUUGUUGUAGUUUUCCACUGACCUUAAUCACAAGGCGUGGUAAUACUAAGAGAUGCCCUAAGAGAGCUCCAAUCCUUACUCCAUUGUGUAACAGCAGUUGAAUUUCCCCUUGGCAGUGAGGAUCAGUCACCUCAGCCAGCAUAGUAACUCCCAUCUUUGCCUGUUGAUUCAGAGGCAUGAAGAACCCACAAUGACUGGGUAGUCUUAACUGUUGUGUCUCCCAGUAGAAGCAUUCUUUCAUCUGAAACUAAGACUUAGCAGCAUGCACAGCAUAAGGUCACAGGAACAGGAAGUAAAACUUUUGCUGUGGGUGACUAGGGGUAAUAAUGAAUGGUGCCACCCUCAUUUCUACCGCCUGACUCUAGGCCCAUGAAACCCGGCUAUGGGAGAAGGAACACCUUUAGUGAAUGUUGAUUCAGAGCAUAUAGAGCUUCCCAGAGAAUGCUUCCCCAACCCUGCAAGGCAUUGCCACCUAGAUGGUGUUGUAACUGAGUCUUCAAAAGGCCAUCCCUCUGUUCUAAACCAGCUGCUUCUGAAUGGUGGGAAACACGGUAAAACCAGUGAUGUGCUAUCCCCUAUGCCCCUCCUCUGGGCUCUGCUCCAAGUGCUCUGCCCAACCAGCACUAUGCCAGCUUUCAGGACCUGUAUGGGUUGCCUCCUCCCUGCAUCUGUCCUCCAGAUGUGGAUGUGGCUGGAGCUUGGCUGUGAGGACCUGGAGCCCCGACAGUGUGGGGAAGACUUGGAAGAGUAGUGGCCCAUGGCCUGGGGCUAGAAGUCCAUAAAUUCCAAAGAGUUAGAAUUUUCAUUUCACAUUUAAUCUUCCAGGAGGUUAUGAAGGUACAUUUACUAAGGUACGAAGACAGACAUAUUUAAAGUCAGAUUUUUAUUUAAAGUCUGAUGGCUUGACUCAUAACUUUUAAAUAUUUAGACCUAACAUACGUGGGCCUCCACUUGCAUUCUUUGUCCUGGGUCCUGCAUAUUUUAGAGAGGGCCUGUUCCUUUACUGGAGCUGUCAGCUCUGGACUCCCUGUGGUCUAUCCUGCCCUGCUUCUUUAUAACAUCAACACAUCUUUGAUCUCCUCACUUCACCUUCCUCACCCUACCUCAGUCAUCUACUUCUAUGUUCAUAACUCAACCUUUGUCAUUACAAGGAAAUGUUGCUGUACUACUUGCAAAACUUACAUCUCAAACAUCCUAUGCUCAGACCAGCCACUGACUACUAUUUUUCCAGCUUAUUCCCUCAAGUUACCCAACUCUGACAAUUUUUUGUGCUCAUCAAGACCUCCCAUUCAUGAUCCAUGAAUCCUACCACUUUUUCACUGUUCUGUACUUCUCUCACUGUCCAGCUUAGAGUUCAUGGUCCAUGUGUCAGGAACUCCUACUAAGCACACACCAGACCAUACUUCCCAGCCUCCCUUGCAGCUAGGUGCAGUCAUGUGACAGAGUUCCAGCCAAUGGGACAUGAGUGGAUAGGAUGUGUGCAUAGGAACAGGGUUCAGAAUGGCAGUGAUGAUAACCACAGUGAUCUUGGAAGCCUGAGACCCUAACUUAUACCCAUCUAGAACAUCUUCCCCAGAGUAUUAAGAAAGAAAAAGGAAAUAUAUUUAAUUUGAGCCAUUGCAUUUUGUUACAUCAGCUGCAUUCCUAUAUCUCCUCACUGAAAUCACUCCCCUGCAUGUAGCCGGGAGGGCAAGCACCAAUGCAGCACAGGGUUAAGAGCGGGGAUUAUCCAACCAAAACCGCCUGAGUCCAUAUUCUGGCUCCAUGACAUACUGGCUUUGCAACCUGAGCAAGUUAUUUCUCCUCUGUGCCUCUAUUUCCUCACUGUUUCCUCACUUGUAAAAUGGAGAUGAUAAUGGAACCUACUCCUAGGUCUGUUUGAGACCCACAGGUCUGGUAAGCAAGUACUGUAGAACAAUGAGACUCUGCCUGCCACAGUGAACGCUAUGUAUCUGCCACCACUGCAUCUGCUCUCAACCCUACCGCCUCUCUCAUACUUACCUGGGGCAGGGGGACCAAAUUCUAGUGAAAUUCAGGUUUCCCCUCCUCCUCUUUGUGUCCAAGCAGCUGAGCCAUGUUGAAGAAUAUCACAAACCUUUGCUGUGCUGCCUCAUCUUGCUCCCCGCUCAUGGCCGCAGCCCACUGGUGGCCCUCACAGCUCCUGGUCGUCCUGCUGCAUAUCCCAGUCAGUCUCUUCACUUCUUCCAGGCUGCAGCCAUGCCUUCUCCUCGCCCGAUGCUGAGCAGUAACCUCAUGCCUCAGUGAGGAAGGAGAAGCUGUCAGAGGGGAACUCCUUUGUGCUCCCACAUCAAACCCACCUACCUCCCUGUGUUCCCUUAUCUGUUUCCUCACCUCUCUCCUGGUUCUUCUCAAAUUAGGCUCCUCCUGCCCCCAAUAGUACUGAAAGGACUCUGUCUAGGAUGCCAAAUCCAAGAGUCAGUCUCAAUUCUCAUCUUCCCUGACCUGCCAGCAGCACUGGAUCAGCCCCGUUUCCUCACAUCGCUUUAUUUCCUUGGGUUCUAGAAUGAAUGCUCCCAACUGUCUUUAUAGCCCGCUGGCCACUCUCUCUUCUCGCCUGCUUCCUCCUGCGCUGCCCUCUAAACACGGGAUUCCUGGGAGUUUCUUCCUCAGCAUCUUCUCUUCCCUUUCUAUCCCCAUUCCUCGCCGACAAUCAGCAAGUCCCAUGGUUUUAGUUACCAUCAUAGGCAAUAAUCCCAAAUUCAGAUUUACAAAGAGCACCUGUCCCUCCAAUGUAAACUCUGGAUUCUUCUGACCAACUGCCCACACUUCUUCACUUCCCUGAGGUCUAAUAGGAAACUUAAGCAUACCUGAAAGAGAGUUGUUGAUUUUCAAAUCAUCUCUCCCACCAAAAGGAAGCCCUUGCUCCCUCCCCAAUUUAAUUAUCUCAAUAAAUGUCCUUACCAUCAACUUCAAUUCCCAGGCCAAAAAAAACAAAAAAACAAAAAAAAAACAGCCACCCUUGACUCCCCUGGGUCCUUACAUCACAUCAAUUGGCAAGCUUUGCUUAAAACAUCUGACACGCCUCACCAUUCCCCUCCACCCUCCCCUGGGACUAUCAUUCCCCACCUGAACCACUGAGGGAGCUUCCUGGUUAGUCCCACUCUAAUGAUUGAUGACCCAGCCUAUUCCCCACUCAGCAGUCAAGAUGUCCUUCGAAAACCAAAGGCAGAUCAUGCAAUCCCCUUGUUCAGACCUACCGAUGGGUGCCCACUGAUCGCCUGUGAUCUAACCCUGGUUAGAUCUAGUCCCUCUCUCCUUGGUGUCCCCUGCUCCAGUCACACUGGUAUUCUUCCGAGGUCCCAGUUUGUUCCAGGGCUUUGCAUGUGCUGUUCCUCCUGCCUGGAGAUCUUCAUCUGCUAUGAUGUCGCUUCAUUCAGGCCUCUGUCCGAGCGCUGCCUCUUUAGAAAGUCUGUGUUCCUUUAUCAGGCUGGGUCCCCUUGCCUCUAUUAGUCCUCUUUAUAGCAAUUACCAGUUUUUAUGUUAAUACUAUGUAUUUAUUUCUCAUUUAUUUUCUAUCUCCCUAAUGACAAACAUUAGCUAUCUGAUGGCUGGGACCAUAUCCAUCUUGCUUCCUGCUUGUGGCAGGACAUUUUCAGCUGCAUGUGACAGAUGAAGCAAUGAAACGUGAUUUAGACAAUCAAGGACAUCUGUGUCCCCACAUAAAUGCACAUUCAGCAGCUCAGCAACAUCAGAGCCUGAGGUUGACAUUUGUUCUUCUCACACCAAAGAAUGGCUGCCGCAGCUCCAGCCUUCACAUCCAACUCAACCAUGUCAGAAGGAAGAGAAAGGACUUUGAUCUUCACAUCUGUUUAGAAUCUUCCAGAAUCCCUAGUCAACUUCCCCUUUUCUAUCCCUGGCCAGACAAGAUCAAGGGUCCACCCCUAAACCAAAGUAGAAGAGGAUGAGCGCAGUUGGCUCUGAUCAGUCAUGAUUUCUCCCUGGAGGGGAGGAUGAACUCAGCUUCCUAGAGCAUGUGCUCCCUGAUGGGUUCACAAAAUGAGACCCUGAGAUCAAGGAGGAAAAGGGUAUGUGACUAUUAGGUGAAAACUCUGGAAUGAUUGCCUCAAUUCUGUACCCCCUGCACCUAGAACAGGGACGGACUCAGAGCAGAUGUUCAAUAAAUGCAUGCCGAUUGGAUGGUAGAAUAUUUGUGCCUUUACAGAGGAUAGGUGUCAGAGAGAGCAGAACCAGAAUAAUGUGCUGUAACUCAGGCCCAGUAAGUGUCAACGUUUUUGCAUGCAGUACACGACUCCAAACACACACACACACACACACACACACACACACACACACACACACAGAAGCAGAGAGUAUUGUCCUGAUUUUACAGAUUAAGAAAUCGAGGUACAGGGAAGUCAAAUAAUUUUACCAAGGACACAUAGCUGUAAAAGAUGGUAAAGUUAGGAUUUGAACCCCAAAAAGUCUGUGUUUCUUCCCCUAGAAGAACCAAUGCUAGUGAAAGCGUUGGAGAGGUAGAGGGUAGUUCUUUCUUUGAAGUGAGAGGGAGGGAGAAAGCGUGGAAAAUAUUCAGGUCCAAGGGGAGAACGUGGACAAUCUCAUGUCAGAUGGCCUCAGUCUUUUCAGUAAGUCACCCUCAGAGUCACCUGCUGAUGAGUAGGAUGAAGCUCAGACAGAAGUGGAAAUGGAUUGGCGUGAACACGGGGAAGACGGAGAUGGUGACCAGGCAGAGAAGAACAGUGGAGAUGGUACAAUGAGCUUAUGAACUGCUCUGGCCCAGGUGGAGGAAGAGACAAAUCUGGCGCUCAGAGAAAAAGCAGCAGUGAGUUGGGGCCAGAAUCACUGAUCCACUGAGACAGGCUGUGGAGACAGAGGCACACAUAUAGCCCGCAGGAAGAAGAGCAGGAGGAGUAGGACACAGGGCAAGGUUGCCCAAGGCGAAGCUUGCAGACACUGAGCACCCACGGCCUUUCUUCUCGUGGCAACACAUUCCAGUUGCUGACAAAGUUCUAGGAAGAAACGAAUGAUCUCUCCAGUUCCCAGUUGAAAAAGGAAGUGCAAAGUUUGGGAAAGGGGCCCAUUCUUGGACGAUUUAUCUACCACUGAGAAGGGGUCUUAAGGAAGGCACAUCCUUUGUCCUGGUUCCUUCCACAUCACAGAGGGCAGGAGAGCCUCUGGAUUUCUCCAGCUGCAAAGCAACUGAGGCCGGUGAUCUUCCCAUGAUUUCUCACUCAAGUAUUUGCCUUAACCAACAACAUGGCUUUAAUCCAUAAAUGGCCCACAAUGGCUUUGGCUCACAUGCACUCGGUGCUGCCUGGGCUCCUGUUGGGUCGUGAGGUGAGAACAUGGUGCCCUGCCCCCUCGCCCUGCUGCAGUGCCACACACACAGCCACCCUGCCCACCCUACUGCUCCUUCCCACCCUCUGGCCACCCACCUGUCAGAGAAACUCUGCCUCCCUAUGUCCCUCAACUCCCACGGUGGCCUCCCUUCUCCCUAACUCUUCUGUUACACAAACUGAGGCUGAACCUGAAAGCACAUGACAAUGAUGCCAUUUAUCCCCAUCGUUCAAUCACUCAUUCAUCUCUCCCACUGCUCACGGAACCCUGGGCAAGUGACUUAGCCUGUUCGUUAACAUGUGAGAAUUAAAUGAACAAAUCCAUGGCCAUCCAUGGCAUAUUUUACAUGUUCAAUAUGAGUUCAUCAUUAGCACUAUUGUUGUUUUCAUUAUAGUCUAUGUUAUCACUUAUCCAAACAUUUACUGAAAUCAGCUGUGUGUCGGGUACACUCUAGAGAGUAUGCGAGGAAGAACGGCCAAGGAGGCCCAUGUUUCAGCAGCUCAGUGCUGGAAUGGUCUGAACACCACCCCUCUGUCUGUACCUCAGCGGACCAUUUCCUGUAAAGAAAAAAAAUCUUGUCCAAUAAAGCAUUUCUUUGCAGAAGUCUAGA